AUGUGAUUGGCUGCUAUCACCUUGUAAUAAUAAUAAUAAAAUAUUAUUAUCGAUUUUUUCAUUUACAUUUAUGUGAACUUUAAGAUAAUAUCUCUUUUCUUUUUUUUUUCUUUUUUUUUGUUUGGAUUUUGUUUUAGUUUUUCCUAAAUAGGUUCUAAAAUUACAUUAUAAAGUCACAAUCAUUUUUAGAUGUUUAGCAAUAUAGACUAAGAUUAGGAAUACCAAUCUGUAUGCCGAUCUCCAAUGAGCGAGCUCGUCACAAUAUGAAACCUGCAAAAAUAGAAAUCAGGUGAAGAACUUCAGGCGUGGUGGCCUAGAAGACUACUCUGACAGUCAAGUUAGUAUUUAUUUAAAAGUUUAUGAAAUGUGUUUAAUGGGUGCAAAUUGUCUUCCUUCACUGAAAUCUUUCUUGUGAUAUUUAUAGCGUUGAAAGCUUUGGAGUUUAUCUCUUGAUAGAUAAUGCAUAGUGGUGCUUCGAUGAUGGAAAUAGUGGGUUCCUAUAUUCAAGGAGGAAGUGCUAAUCGUGAGUGUGACCAAAUAUGUUGCGGAGGUUCGGUUAUCCUGAUGUAAGAUUCGAAUAGACGAGCAUAUAUAGGCGAGCUAUUGCUCACCUUGAGACGACCUUUUUAUACCGAGUUGUAUCACAUAUCCCUACAAAAGCUCUAAGUUAACAAAUGGGAUGGUGCUUAACUAUUGGCGAUUUAUAUCAAUCGUUAGGAGUAUCAUUAUAGCGCUUACCAGCUGCCUUGUUUUUUUGUGUUUAAAUUUUAAAAAGAUAACAGUUACUGAGACCUUUCACUCCACACAUCCCUGGAAAGAAACUUUGUUGUUCUAUCGUUGCUUUAGCAUUUCUCCGGUGACCAAAGUUGACGGUGUUCCUCCUUGUUUUUCGAUGGUCUCAUUUCACCACAGUUGACCCUUAGGGAACUCCUGCACUUCGAUACUUUCAUCUUUGUUGCUUCGCUCUUAUUGAGUACCGUCAUAAGAUGAAGUCUAUGGCGCAAAGUAUGAAGGAAUUGAAAGCGUAGAAGAAUAAACAACCAGCUGCCUCUUUUUGAUUUGUGGAAUCUAAGGAUCGGUAUUCACCAAAGGAGAACUCAGAAAAAAUCUUGAAUACCCCAUCACCCAUUGCUGUCAUCCCUCUAUCCCCUGCUCCUGAGAGUCCCGAGGGCUCGAGAGAUAAAGUCAUUCCUAAGGCGGGUGGAGUUCGCCCUUCCAAAUGAGUGAAGCUGACAGAGUAUACCCGACCUCUAUAUGAGAUCACUCAAUUUCUUGAGGUGGUGGAAAAGAAGGAUGGAGAGAAAGCCUCAGUGAGGAAUCCUUCCAUCGCUUCUGACGUUAUGAGAAUCAAAUAAAUAAAAAAACUAUUUGAAGCGUCUUUCUUGCUUUGACCUACAAAAUAUUCUGGUUUUUUUAUUUAUUUAUUUUAUCAGACUUAACUCUAACUAAAAUAACAAGAGCUUUGCAGUUGCCCAACGACUCGGAUAUUCUUAAUGAGCUUACUGACAUUGAAAUUGCUGGUAGUGCCCACGGGCAUCUGGCUAUGGCUUCCUAAGCUAGCUUUGCUUUACGUCUUCAACUGUUAGAGUACCGAGACAAGGUGAAAAAGGACUAGCAAUCUGCCAAGGUGAAGUGGGAGGCGAAAGCUAAGGUCGAGUUUGAGAAGUUGAACGCCAACCACCUAGCAUCUCUAGAGACGGAGAAACAAAAUUAUUCAUCUCGGGAGUCUGUUUUUGAAUGCCAAAGUAGAGUCCUUGUCCUUCGAGCUGGAUGAGACAGAGGGGGCUCUAGAGAAAAGCCGACAAGAUACUCUGCAUCUUGAAGGCGAGCUUAUGAGCGAGAAGGUAGCUUAUGAGACGGCUCAUACUCUCCAUCUUCUCUCACUGAUGUUUUUCUUGUGAUAUUUAUAGCGUGAAAAACUUUGGAGUUUAUCGCCUGAUAGAUAGUGCAUAGUGGUGCUUUGAUGAUGGAGAGUGGGUUCUUAUAUUCAAGGAGGAAGUGCUAGUCGUGUGUGUGAUCAAAUAUGUUGCGGAUGUUCGACUAUCCUGAUGUAAAAUUUGGAUAGACGAGCAUAUAUGGGCGAGUUAUUGUUCGCCUCAGAGUGAUCUUUUUAUACCGAGUUGUAUCAGUUAGUAUUUUUAUCUGUCAAUCAAAUUAUCAUUCACGACA